CCCAGACUCCUACGGGAGGCAGCAGUGAGGAAUAUUGGUCAAUGGGAGGGAUCCUGAACCAGCCAAGCCGCGUGAGGGAAGACGGCCCUAUGGGUUGUAAACCUCUUUUGUCGGAGAACAAAACCCGGGACGUGUCCCGGACUGCGUGUAUCCGAAGAAAAAGCAUCGGCUAACUCCGUGCCAGCAGCCGCGGUAAUACGGAGGAUGCGAGCGUUAUCCGGAUUUAUUGGGUUUAAAGGGUGCGUAGGCGGUCCGGAAAGACAGGUGUAAAGGCCGGGGUCGCAACCCCGGCGAGCCGUUGAAACUGGCUGUCUUGAGAUGUCGAGAGGUAUGCGGAAUGCGCAGUGUAGCGGUGAAAUGCUUAGAUAUUGCGCAGAACUCCGAUUGCGAAGGCAGCAUACCGGCGGCGAUCUGACGCUGAGGCACGAAAGCGUGGGUAUCGAACAGGAUUAGAUCCCCUAGUA
rnacentral:rRNA from 1 species